GGAGAGGUGGCAGAGUGGUCGAAUGUACCUGACUCGAAAUCAGGCGUACGUGCAAACGUACCGAGGGUUCGAAUCCCUCCCUCUCCG
rnacentral:tRNA from 1 species